AUAUUCUACUCUAAUGAGACCUUGUUAAUUCCCAAAUGAUCUUGUCCUUCCUUAUCGGAGACACGUGUACCAUGGUAGAGCUUUUUCAGCUGUAUAACUCCUGGAAAUCCGUGAGAUGCUGCCCUUGUGUUUUAAUCAAGAUGAACUUGAAAGGUGAAUAUUCAAUAAAACCCACUUCAAAGUUAGGAAGGUUUUUCUCUCCCAGCUACUUGAAAUAAAAGCAUUUUCAGAGUGAGAUGGCUACAGAACACAGAAUGGGUCAGAAGGAGUGUCCAGUUUUUCCUUUUCCUGUGAAUUGCACAUCAUUUAUAUAAGUGCAGAUCAACAACAAUCCAGACAACAAAAGAAUAUCUGUGGCCCAUUCUGAAUUCAGCCUGAACA